rnacentral:rRNA from 2 species
UGAUUGGUGCUUGCAUCAUGAUUUACAUUUGAGUGAGUGGCGAACUGGUGAGUAACACGUGGGAAACCUGCCCAGAAGCGGGGGAUAACACCUGGAAACAGAUGCUAAUACCGCAUAACAACUUGGACCGCAGGGUCCGAGUUUGAAAGAUGGCUUCGGCUAUCACUUUUGGAUGGUCCCGCGGCGUAUUAGCUAGAUGGUGGGGUAACGGCUCACCAUGGCAAUGAUACGUAGCCGACCUGAGAGGGUAAUCGGCCACAUUGGGACUGAGACACGGCCCAAACUCCUACGGGAGGCAGCAGUAGGGAAUCUUCCACAAUGGACGAAAGUCUGAUGGAGCAACGCCGCGUGAGUGAAGAAGGGUUUCGGCUCGUAAAACUCUGUUGUUAAAGAAGAACAUAUCUGAGAGUAACUGUUCAGGUAUUGACGGUAUUUAACCAGAAAGCCACGGCUAACUACGUGCCAGCAGCCGCGGUAAUACGUAGGUGGCAAGCGUUGUCCGGAUUUAUUGGGCGUAAAGCGAGCGCAGGCGGUUUUUUAAGUCUGAUGUGAAAGCCUUCGGCUCAACCGAAGAAGUGCAUCGGAAACUGGGAAACUUGAGUGCAGAAGAGGACAGUGGAACUCCAUGUGUAGCGGUGAAAUGCGUAGAUAUAUGGAAGAACACCAGUGGCGAAGGCGGCUGUCUGGUCUGUAACUGACGCUGAGGCUCGAAAGUAUGGGUAGCAAACAGGAUUAGAUACCCUGGUAGUCCAUACCGUAAACGAUGAAUGCUAAGUGUUGGAGGGUUUCCGCCCUUCAGUGCUGCAGCUAACGCA